rnacentral:rRNA from 2 species
UGGCUCAGAUUGAACGCUGGCGGCAGGCCUAACACAUGCAAGUCGAGCGGAAACGAGUUAACUGAACCUUCGGGGAACGUUAACGGCGUCGAGCGGCGGACGGGUGAGUAAUGCCUGGGAAAUUGCCCUGAUGUGGGGGAUAACCAUUGGAAACGAUGGCUAAUACCGCAUAAUAGCUUCGGCUCAAAGAGGGGGACCUUCGGGCCUCUCGCGUCAGGAUAUGCCCAGGUGGGAUUAGCUAGUUGGUGAGGUAAGGGCUCACCAAGGCGACGAUCCCUAGCUGGUCUGAGAGGAUGAUCAGCCACACUGGAACUGAGACACGGUCCAGACUCCUACGGGAGGCAGCAGUGGGGAAUAUUGCACAAUGGGCGCAAGCCUGAUGCAGCCAUGCCGCGUGUAUGAAGAAGGCCUUCGGGUUGUAAAGUACUUUCAGCAGUGAGGAAGGUGGUAGUGUUAAUAGCA